AAUCGAACUCGGAGAUAGCUGGUUCUCCCCGAAAUAGCUUUAGGGCUAGCCUCAUAUUAGAUACCCGGAGGUAAAGCACUGAAUGGCCUAGCGCCCGAGAGGGUAGCGAAGCCUAUCAAACUAAGAAUGCCGGAGUAUUGAUGUAUGGGAGUCAGACAGUGUGAGAUAAAUCUCAUUGUCAAAAGGGAAACAGCCCAGAUCUACAGCUAAGGUCCCAAAUUGUAUCUAAGUGGAAAACGAUGUGGAAAUACGCAGACAACCAGGAUGUUGGCUCAGAAGCAGCCACUCAUUUAAAGAGUGCGUAAUAGCUCACUGGUCGAGCGUCUCUGCGCGGAAAAUUUAACGGGGCUAAGAUACAAACCGAAGCUUAGGCUGCACGUAAGUGCGGGGUAGGGGAGCGUUGUGUAAGCGGAGAAACAGUAGCGUAAGCGGCUGUGGAGUUUACAGAAGUGAGAAUGCCGGAAUGAGUAGCGCGAAUGUGGUGAGAAUCCACAUGGCCGGAAACCUCAGGUUUUUGGAGGAAGGUUCGUCCGCUCCAAGUUAGGCGGGAGCUAAGGUCAGGCCGAAAGGCGUAGCCGAUGCACAGACGGUAGAGAUUCCGUCCCCACCGAAAGAUUUAAGCACAGGGACACUUUUUGAAGGUCGGAGCCAGGUGUUGGUUCUGGUAGUGAUCGAGGGAAAUAUAGUACCGAAGUCCGGCUGGAAGAGAGGCGAGAAAAGCUGUGUGUAUAUCUAAGGUGCCCGUACCGCAAACCGACACAGGUAGGUAGGAAGAAGAUUCUAAGGCCAACGGGAGAAGGGUUGUUAAGGAACUCGGCAAGUUGACCCCGUAACUUCGGAAUAAGGGGUGCUCACGAGAGUGAGCCGCAGAGAAUAGGCCCAGGCAACUGUUUACCAAAAACACAGGUUUGUGCUAAAUCGAAAGAUGACGUAUACGAGCUGACGCCUGCCCGGUGCUGGAAGGUUAAAAGGAGAUGUGCAAGCAUUGAAUUGAAGCCCCAGUGAACGGCGGCCGUAACUAUAACGGUCCUAAGGUAGCGAAAUUCCUUGUCAGGUAAGUUCUGACCCGCAUGAAAGGCGUAAUGAUUUGGGCACUGUCUCAACAGCCCGCCCGGCGAAAUUGUAGUACCGGUGAAGAUGCCGGUUACCCGCGACAAGACGGAAAGACCCCAUGGAGCUUUACUGUAGCCUGAUAUUGGGUUUCGGUGUUGCAUGCACAGGAUAGAUGGGACGCUGGGAAAGAGUCGCUUUGGCGAUUCUGGAGCGGACGUUGGGAUACCAUCCUUGCGACAUUGGAAUUCUAACCUGCGCCUCUGAAUCGAGGCGGGGGACAUUGUCAGGUGGGCAGUUUGACUGGGGCGGUCGCCUCCUAAAAAGUAGCGGAGGCGUUCAAAGGUUCGUUCGAUCUGGACGGAAACCAGAUGAUUGAGUGCAAACGCAUAAACGAGCCUGACUGCGAGACUGACGGGUCGAGCAGAGACGAAAGUCGGAGUUAGUGAUCCGGUGGUAUGUGAGUGGAAAUGCCAUCGCUCAACGGAUAAAAGUUACCCUGGGGAUAACAGGCUGAUCUCCCCCAAGAGUCCACAUCGACGGGGAGGUUUGGCACCUCGAUGUCGGCUCAUCGCAUCCUGGGGCUGUAUUCGGUCCCAAGGGUUUGGCUGUUCGCCAAUUAAAGCGGUACGCGAGCUGGGUUCAGAACGUCGUGAGACAGUUCGGUCCCUAUCUGUCGUGGGCGCAGGAUAUUUGAAAGGCGCUGUCCCUAGUACGAGAGGACCGGGAUGGACGAACCUCUGGUGCACCAGUUGUCACGCCAGUGGCACAGCUGGGCAGCUAUGUUCGGAUCGGAUAAACGCUGAAAGCAUCUAAGCGUGAAGCCGGCCUUAAGAUAAGAUAUCCCACUGAGAUAAUCAGGUAAGACCCCUUGA
rnacentral:rRNA from 1 species